UCGUCUAAUAUCAAACAGAAUAAAUAUGAAGACGUGUCAUGGUAGUGAAGGAGUUAAACAUCUGUGUAGCUUCAAUUAGAGCCUUUUGAAAUAGUGGAGGUGCGGCAAGGAAGGAAAGUGUUUCGAACCUUGUCUCGAGCCGCUGUUUCUCUCUGGCAUCGUUCAUUCAUCUCGUUACGCAGUUCGGUAAGUAAAGUUGUUAUCUCCGUUCGUGUAUCGCAGUAUUUGAUUCAGCAGAUGUGUUUGUUUAUCAUUUAGUUCAUAGUUUAUAGUUUUCAAGUGUGAAUUGGGGUUUAUGGAGGAUGUAUCUGGUGCAAAUAAAGUGAGUCGGGAAUGUGUGUUCAGACCACAGUGGAAACCUUUAGCCAGUCACAGCGUAGCAUCAGGACACUCUUAGCCAGUGUGAGGCCGGCCAGCUUGAGGCAAUGAGAGGCGAGAGAUGAGAAACAUUACUAGCGGGAGGAAGUCUGCAAGGUGAGGACAGCAAGGUCCGGGUUGCAGCUGGGAUCGGCGAGAAGUCACGAGGGUACAGCCGAGGGUCAAACUGAGUACCCUGAAGGAUCUUUGUUGUAGGAUUACCAACUUCGCGGCGGGGGUUGGCACGCCUGGCUGGCCACGAAAAAAGGAUCGUGCGAGGAGAAGAGUAAGCGCGUUGAUAGGUUGUCCUGCAGUGAGUUCCCGAGCCUUUGUGCAUUACGUGUCCUGAGCUGACCACGGCAUCUUCACACGCCCUCACUCUCGUCCUCCCAGACUCCCGUCUUCCCUCACUCCCCCGCCUGAGUUACUUGUACUGAGUGAAGCAUUGAAGCACCACCGAACCUCUGCACCAACGCAUCGCCCACCUCGACGCGGAAAGGAAACGAGAGGAUAAAGGAUAGAGAAGAGAAGAGGAAAGGAGAGAGUGAGCGGUAGAGAGGAAAGAGAAGAAAGAAGAGAGAAGAGAGAAGAGGAGUGCUGAUUUUCUCGCUGCAUUGUACAGAUCUAUGGAAGACUUCAAAAAACAACUGAAAACUGGAACAUCGUUGAGGACAGAGUAAUGAAGAGGUUCAGAGGAAUUUCUUUAGAUGUUUCGUGGUCUUAGUGUGCUUUGAUCAUGUCCUGUGCUGAAAAAAAAAAAUGCUGUCUUUGCUCUAGAACCCCACAAAAGAGGUUUAAGAUAGUUCAUUUGUACUUUAAAGGGUAUUUUAUUUUUCCUCUCUUUUAGAUUAUCAUGGAUAUGUUUUAUGCCUUAUAAAUGUUCUGAUCGCUUUAUAAACACACAAAAGAGGUAUAAGGAUCAGUUUUAUGCUUUAAAGUUUUCUCUUUUUUCCUCGUGGAGCGUUGUGUGUUUUCUGCCUAAAAAUGUUCUAAUCGCCUUAGAAACACAGGAAUAAGAUUUAAGAUGAACUAAAGGUGUUUUAUAGGUAUUUUGUGUUCUCUUAUAAUGUUGUGUGUGUGUGUCUUCCGCU